GACAGAGGAGCCAAGCGUUGUCCGGACUGACUGGGCGUAAAGCGCCCGCAGGCGGCCGUGCACGUGGGGUGUGAAAGCGCUCGGCUUAACUGAGCGAGGCCAUCCCAUACGGCGCGGCUCGAGCCGUCCAGAGGCCGGUGGAAUUGCCGGUGUAGUGGUGAAAUGCUCAGAUAUCGGGAAGAACACCCGUGGCGAAGGCGGUUCUCUGGGACGGUACUGACGCUGAGACGCGAAAGCGUGGGGAGCGAACAGG
rnacentral:rRNA from 1 species